UUUUUUUUGUUGUUUUUUGUUAUUAUGUUAAAAAAAUUUAUUUUAUAGAGUAGUGUUUAAGAAAUUUUUUAGUUUGUGGAGUACCGUAAGGGAAAAUGAAAAUUUGAGAAUAAUAAGUGGAAAUUUUUACCUUUUGUAUCAUGGUUUAAUAAGUUUAAAAUUAUAAAAGUUGUCUAGAAAAUUAAGUGUGAUUCUCGGAAAGUUAAGAACUGAUAAGUUUUUGUUGAAAUAAAAUUUUUAUAUCUGGGAAUGGUAAUGAAAUGUUGUCGAACUUUUUUAUAGCUAGUUUUUUGUGACUGUUUUUUAGAACGGCUUUACGGAGUAAUUAUAGAUGGUAAUCUUUUAUAAUUUAGAGAAAUUAUUUUUUUUAUUUUGAAGUAAGUUUAAAAAUUGUUUACUUUUUAUGUUGUUAUAAUAGGAAAAUGACUAUGAGUGAAAUUUUCUUUGUUUAGCAAAUUUUUUUUUUUAUUUUUAUAAAAAAAAUAAUAAUGUUAAAAUUAGUACUUUGUUUAAGGUUUGAUUGAGGAAUUCGGCAAAUAAAGCUUUGACUGUUUUCAAAAACAUAGUCUUUUGAAAUUUUAUGAAAGAUGUUUUCUGCUCAGUGGUAAUAAACAGCCGCGGUAAUUUGACCGUGCGAAGGUAGCGUAAUCAUUUGCCUUGUAAUUUAAGGCUUGUAUGAAUGGGGGUACAAAGGCUUAUCUGUCUUAAUUGAGUUUUUGGAAGUUGUUUUUAUUGUGAAGAAACAAUGAUGAGGUAAUGGGACAAGAAGACCCUUUUGAGCUUUACUUUUUUAAGAGUAUUUGCUUUUGUAAGAGUUUGGUUGGGGCGAUCGAGGAAGACAUGAAUCUUCCUUUUUAUAGAUAUAUAGGAUCCAGAAUUUUUGAUUAAAAGAAUAAGUUACCAAAGGGAUAACAGCGUAAUUUUUUUUGUGAGUUCUUAUUAAAAAAAAAGAUUGCGACCUCGAUGUUGACUUAUAAUUUCCUUUAGGUGUAGUUGUUUAAAAGGUGGGUCUGUUCGACCUUUAAAAUUUUACGUGAGUUGAGUUCAGACCGGUGUAAGCCAGGUUGGUUUCUAUCUUUUAUUAUGUAUUAUGAUUUUUUAGUACGAAAGGAUCAAAGGUUAUUUU
rnacentral:rRNA from 1 species